rnacentral:rRNA from 1 species
CUGGCGGCAGGCCUAACACAUGCAAGUCGAACGGUAACAGGAAGCAGCUUGCUGCUUCGCUGACGAGUGGCGGACGGGUGAGUAAUGUCUGGGAAACUGCCUGAUGGAGGGGGAUAACUACUGGAAACGGUAGCUAAUACCGCAUAACGUCGCAAGACCAAAGAGGGGGACCUUCGGGCCUCUUGCCAUCAGAUGUGCCCAGAUGGGAUUAGCUAGUAGGUGGGGUAACGGCUCACCUAGGCGACGAUCCCUAGCUGGUCUGAGAGGAUGACCAGCCACACUGGAACUGAGACACGGUCCAGACUCCUACGGGAGGCAGCAGUGGGGAAUAUUGCACAAUGGG